rnacentral:rRNA from 1 species
CCUACGGGAGGCAGCAGUGAGGAAUAUUGGUCAAUGGGCGGAAGCCUGAACCAGCCAAGUAGCGUGCAGGAUGACGGCCCUACGGGUUGUAAACUGCUUUUAUACGGGAAUAACGCGCCUUACGUGUAGGGCUUUGCAUGUACCGUAUGAAUAAGGACCGGCUAAUUCCGUGCCAGCAGCCGCGGUAAUACGGAAGGUCCGGGCGUUAUCCGGAUUUAUUGGGUUUAAAGGGAGCGUAGGCCGCAUGUCAAGCGUGCUGUGAAAUGUCCGGGCUCAACCCGGGCCUUGCAGCGCGGACUGGCGUACUUGAGUCCGCGGAAAGCAGGCGGAAUUCGUCGUGUAGCGGUGAAAUGCUUAGAUAUGACGAAGAACCCCGAUUGCGAAGGCAGCUUGCUGCAGCGGAACUGACGCUGAUGCUCGAAAGCGCGGGUAUCGAACAGGAUUAGAUACCCUGGUAGUC